AUGAAAAUUCUCAGUUGGAACUAUCGAGGGCUGGGACAACCUCGUAUGGUUCAGGAGCUUGUGUGCAUGACUAAGACGCACCGUCCAAAUGUUAUUUUUCUUUUGGAAACUAGGAAAAAUAAAGAGUAUGUUAAGCUUUUGAGGUACUGGUUGGGUAUGAAUAAUGUGUUUACUGUUUCUGGCCAUGGUAAAGGUGGAGGUCUAGCCGUAUUUUGGGAUGGAGCAUAUUCUUGUGAGCUGAACAAAUAUGGUGAACAUUUUGUGGACAUGUACGUCAACAAGGGACGUAUUAGUACAAAGUGGAGGUGCACAUUUAUUUGUGGAGAGCCUAAGGUGAGCCAGAGGUAUGUUAUGUGGGAUCUUUUGAGGUGGAUUAAACCUCUUGGUGUCGUACCUUGGUUUAUGGUGGGGGAUUUUAACAAAGCUAUGUGGCAAAAUGAACAUUUCUCUCGACAUAAGAGAUCUCCUAGACUCGUGGCUAACUUUCGUGAAGUUCUGUCGGAGUGCAAUUUAUUUUAUUUGGGCUUUCAAGGUGCUCCGUGGACAUAUAAUAAUAUGCAAGAGGGCAACAAGAAUGUUAAGGUACGUCUUGACCGUGCAGUGGCAUGCCCUCUUUGGUCUUCUAUUUUCCCUCAAUGUAAGGUCUCCCAUAUUAUUAGCUCCAGAUCUAAUCAUUGCCCCAUUUUAAUUGAGUUGUUGGGUAAUGCUCGUGAGGGGAGGGUUGCUAGAGAGUUGAAAUAUGAAUCUUACUGGGAGCAGGAAGGUCGUGUUUUGGAUGAACAGAUUAAUGAUUGUUGGAAUAGAGGAUCAAAUAUAAAGGAUCUGAAAGAUAUUUCCAAUAAUUUAGAAAAAUUAAUGAAAUCUCUUCAUGGAUGGAGUCAGGUGCAUAUUGGGUAUCUACCUAAGAAACUUGACUGGGCUCGUAAGAGACUAGACAUUUUGUUAAAUAGAACUGAUCAUUCUGCUGUGUUGGAAAGAAAGAGAAUUCUAGGGGAGAUGGAUGAACUUCUUAUCAGGGAAGAAAUAUUGUGGAAGCAGAGAUCUCGUCUGGACAAGAUUAAAGGGGGAGAUCGUAAUACAAAAUAUUUUCAGCGAAAAGCUCUCGAAAGAGCAAAAAAUAUAUUCUAUUUUGGCUCUUUGGAAGGAUGA
rnacentral:rRNA from 1 species